GGGAGUGCUUGCUCCUUUUCUGCUCCCGCUGCCAGGAAAGUAAGGAGGGCUUUUGGCGGGACGGGCUCCCUCAGCUCGCCGCCGUGAGGGCCAGGAGCGGCUCAGGCGGGCUGGCCUCCUUCAGCUCGCCUCCAUGAGGGAACUGAGCAGCUCAGGCGGGCCGGCCUCCCUCAGCUCGCCGCCAUGAGGGAACUGAGCAGCUCAGGCGGGCCGGCCUCCCUCAGCUCGCCGCCAUGAGGGAACUGAGCAGCUCAGGCGGGCCGGCCUCCCUCAGCUCGCCGCCAUGAGGGAACUGAGCAGCUCAGGCGGGCCGGCCUUCCACAGCUCGCCGCCGAGAGGGCCAGGAGCGGCUCUGGUGAACCGAGCCCCCUCGCCAUGAGGGGCCGCCGCCGCCAUGAGGCCUAAAGCCUAUCCUGAGGUGGCCUGACCCCGGCGUGUGUGAAACCCCGAGCUGUGCUCUCCAGGGGGGCACUGGAGCCUGCGGAGAGAUGUGAUGGGAUAACCUGCCCGUGAGACACUGGGAGAGCUCUGGAGCCACGUGGGUGAGAUAAAUUGUUGGUGUGGGGAUUGCUGGAGCAGCAGGAGUGGUCAGAAGUAAAGCUGUCGAUGCUGCUCUGAAGAUCCUUGUUUGGAAAGUAUUGAGAAGAUGGAAACCUGGAGCCCACAGUUUAAAUGGGGCAGCUGGAGAAUUUGUUUUCAGAAUGUGGAUGUAGGAAUUGGAAACAUCAAAGGUGGUUUGGCGCAAGGUAUAAAAAGAAUUAUAUGCACAAUUUAUUGUCAAUCUCCUCUCAUUGCUUUUGGAAAUACAUUUUUAUAUGACCUCAAUUAAAUGUGUUUAUAUUUAAGCUUG